rnacentral:tRNA from 1 species
AGGGAAGUAGCCCCGCCAUCGGCGGGGCACCUGGUUUGGGACCAGGGGGUCGCAGGUUCGAAUCCUGUCUUCCCGA